rnacentral:lncRNA from 1 species
GGGACCAAGGGGAGGGCUAGGGGGGGUUUGGCCCCAAAAUGCUGUUUCCAGCAACAAAAGGAGGCUCGGGCAGAUGGUGGGACCCAGCGAACUGGACUGGCUCGAGGGCAAGGCUGGCCUGAGUGCCAGCUCGAGUUUUGGUGCUUACGUCAGCGAGCUGAUGUCACGACGACGUCAUCCCUAGCAUUCAUAUUUUUUCAACGUUGGCACGUGAGUUGAAAAAAAAUUGACACGCCCGCUACAGUCCCGCCAAUGGCUCUCUUCC